UAUAAACCCCAUGCAACUCUGAACACGCUGAUCACAUUUGAUUUCAGUAGCUAAGUAGCAUCAGGCCUGUAUAGACAGUAUUUGGAUGGGAGACCACCAGAGUAUACCAGCUAGGGCUUGGAA
ensembl:rRNA 5S_rRNA 5S ribosomal RNA